UCUAAAAAGAAAGAAAAUAUCUAAAAAGUAAGGAAAAUAUCUUCUAGCGAAAAGACUAUUUUGCCCUCGCAUUAUUUAAUAGGGGGAAAAUUGACUUUUUAGUCGAGAAAGAAUUUGGGCAUUCCGCUUAAGCCAUUGCGUAGAGCGCGGCGAAACGAGUUCGUGGACACGGAGUAGACCCGGAUCGGAGCUGUAACAAAGAAGAUAUGGUCUAAAAACCGCGAAGGGCAAAACGGUAAUUUGGUCAAAAAGUCAGAUUUUUAUCUCUCUCUCCUCUCCCUCGUCAGUUCUCUCUCUCUCUCUCUCCUUCCGCGCGACUUGGCCGUGCGACCCUUCGCCUUCUCGGCGACGGCCCGGCCACCACAGGCCGAGCUGAUCUCCGCCGUGGGUACCAUCGGGUCUGCCUCCCUCUCGCCGUCAAAACCUGACCGACCUCCACCCUUGGGCCGCUCGGAGUUGAUCGGAAAACCAUGUUUUCCGACGGAGAUUCGUCCGAAACCACCCGAACUUCCAGCUCGAUUUUCUCCUUCAAUUUUCCACCAAAUCGGUCGAGUAAGGCACCAGGAGCCCGACAGGAUUGCAAAAGAGACCUUCGAAGGGUCAAAGUAGCUCGGACCAUCUGCCGUAGAAGUACGCGGGAUCCACCACCGGGCCAUACAUAGCUUCCGCGCCAUCAAGAAAGGUAGAGUUUUGAAGAAAAUCCUUGAAACCUCGAAAGCCUUAGAAAAUGCUCUGAUAUCUAGUUAAAAUUGAGAAACUAGAGUUGAGAAUGGUUACUUGAGAUAUUCUGGCAGUUGGUGUGAAUUUAUUGACUGUUUAACAGGCGGAAGAAUUUGGGAUUUGUCAAAAUACAGGGGAGACUCUGCCGAAUUUUCGGCAGAAGUCUAAGGGAAAUUUGGAAAGAAUUUGAAACGAGAAGGGUAAAAAGGUCUUUUGUGCCCGACAUUAGCCAGAUGUCGGACACGCACAGGAUUCGACUCGGAUUCCAAAGCGGAAAUUGGGUCGGGUCCUGUCACUUAUCAUGGACCACACGCUCGCCUGGGCUGCUUCUUCACUGCUGGACCUCCUUUUUUUGCCCAAACCCCCCCAGCCCGAGUCCACCUCCUUUGCUGGACUUGCUCUUAGUAAAUGCUUCAGGAUUCCAGUGUGCCGCUUCAAAUUCACGCAAGCAUAGGACUAUGCCUUGAAUGGCUUCCGUUCCCUUGUAAAUAGGAAUAAAAGAAAAGUUAAUGUCAUAAUCAAGUCUCUGUUAUCGUUAUUAAUGGACUAAUAGUAAGUUAUCCAA